rnacentral:rRNA from 1 species
AUUGAACGCUGGCGGCAUGCUUUACACAUGCAAGUCGAACGGCAGCACGAAAGAGCUUGCUCUUUUGGUGGCGAGUGGCGAACGGGUGAGUAAUGCAUCGGAACGUACCGAGUAAUGGGGGAUAACUGUCCGAAAGGAUAGCUAAUACCGCAUACGCUUUGAGAAGGAAAGUGGGGGCUCUUCGGACCUCACGUUAUUCGAGCGGCCGAUGUCUGAUUAGCUAGUUGGUGGGGUAAAGGCCUACCAAGGCGACGAUCAGUAGCGGGUCUGAGAGGAUGAUCCGCCACACUGGGACUGAGACACGGCCCAGACUCCUACGGGAGGCAGCAGUGGGGAAUUUUGGACAAUGGGCGCAAGCCUGAUCCAGCCAUGCCGCGUGUCUGAAGAAGGCCCUCGGGUUGUAAAGGACUUUUGUUAGGGAAGAAAAGGAUAGUGUUAAUACCAUUAUCUGCUGACGGUACCUAAAGAAUAAGCACCGGCUAACUACGUG